rnacentral:rRNA from 1 species
AUUGAACGCUGGCGGCAUGCCUUACACAUGCAAGUCGAACGGCAGCGGACCUUCGGGUGCCGGCGAGUGGCGAACGGGUGAGUAAUAUAUCGGAACGUACCUUUCAGUGGGGGAUAACGUAGCGAAAGUUACGCUAAUACCGCAUAUUCUGUGAGCAGGAAAGCAGGGGAUCGCAAGACCUUGCGCUGAUUGAGCGGCCGAUAUCAGAUUAGCUAGUUGGUGAGGUAAAGGCUCACCCAAGGCGACGAUCUGUAGCGGGUCUGAGAGGAUGAUCCGCCACACUGGAACUGACGACACGGUCCAGACUCCUACGGGAGGCAGCAGUGGGGAAUUUUGGACAAUGGGCGCCAAGCCUAAUCCAGCCAUGCCGCGUGAGGGAAGAAGGUCCUCUGGAUUGUAAACCUCUUUUGGCAGGAAACAAACCUGCGCUAUACGCGCAGCUGAGGGUACCUGCAGAAUAAGCACCGGCUAACUCCGU